AUUGAACGCUGGCGGAAUGCUUACACAUGCAAGUCGAACGGCAGCACGGGAGCUUGCUCCUGGUGGCGAGUGGCGAACGGGUGAGUAACAUAUCGGAACGUAUCCAAUAAUGGGGGAUAACUAAGCGAAAGCUUGGCUAAUACCGCAUACGCCCUGAGGGGGAAAGCUAGGGAUCUUCGGAACUGGCGUUAAUGGAGCGGCCGAUAUCUGAUUAGCUAGUUGGUGAGGUAAAAGCUCACCAAGGCGACGCUCAGUAGCUGGUCUGAGAGGACGACCAGCCACACUGGAACUGAGACACGGUCCAGACUCCUACGGGAGGCAGCAGUGGGGAAUUUUGGACAAUGGGCGCAAGCCUGAUCCAGCCAUUCCGCGUGAGUGAAGAAGGCCUUCGGGUUGUAAAGCUCUUUCGCAAGGGAAGAAAGAUUACGCUCUAACAUAGCGUGAUUAUGACGGUACCUUGAUAAGAAGCACCGGCUAACUACGUACCAGCAGCCGCCGUAAUAC
rnacentral:rRNA from 1 species